GAACCCUUUUCUCCUCCUCCUCUUCCCCGAUCUCCUUUCUCUUCCUUCUCUGUUCUCUCUCGCAGACGAGCGACGUCGACGGGAGCGAGGCUCCAGCUCCGGUGAUCUUCUUUGCCGGCAUCGACGUCCAUUGAGCUCAGAUCUGGCCGGCAUUUUUCUCUCCAGGUCGCAUCACAGCGUCGCAUCUCCUCUAGCCGGUUGCCGACGCCACUGGAUCGAUCCAGAUCCACUCGAUCGCCGGUGUAAGUCCAUUGUCGAUGCUUUGCAUUCGGAUCACUACUUCGUGUGAGCGAUCAGGAAGGGGGUCCUAGCCCUAGCCCUAGCCUCGAACCUCCUCUGUUCUUGAUGCCAUGCCCUAGCUCCGAACUUCGCCUCCUCUUCAAAGCAAUGGCGUUCCGACAGUGAGACAACGAGUGGAGUGGAAUCAGUGAGGUUCGGUUAUGUUGUUGUGGGGUUGUCUUGGUUCCGGCAGCACUCCUUCCAGCAGCACCUCUUUAGCUACGGAUCAAGAGUAGAGAUUGGAGAUUGAGGGCUCUGAUUCGAGACGGGUGUCUCGACUUUGGAUUGCUUGAUUGGAUCCUAUAUUUGAGG